rnacentral:tRNA from 1 species
GGCGGAUUAGUUCAGCGGUAGAACAGUGAGCUGUUAACUCUCUAGUCCUAGGUUCGAUUCCUAGAUCCGCCUCCA